rnacentral:rRNA from 1 species
GACGAACGCUGGCGGCGUGCUUAACACAUGCAAGUCGAACGAAGUGACGAGCGGGUGAGUACUACGUGGGUAACCUGCCCUCCUUUUUGGGCUAAGCCUUGGUAACGGGGUCUAAUACCGCAUAAAGUGGGUUGGGCUCGUGGCCUAUCAGCUUGUUGUUGGGGUGAUGGCCUAACAAGGCGGUGUCGGGUAGCCGGCCUGAGCGGGUGAACGGGCACAUAGGGACGGAGAGACAGCCCAGGCGCCGACGGGGGGGAGCAGUGGGGGAAAUGGAACAAUGUGUGAAAGAGUGAUGCAGCGAGGCCGCGGGGGGGAUGAGGGUUUUCGGGUUCUAAACCUCGUGCGCAAUCGAACGGGUAGGUGGAGAAGAAGCGCCGGCUAACUACGUGCCAGCAGCCGCGGUAAUUC